rnacentral:rRNA from 1 species
UACGGAGGGGGCGAGCGUUAUUCGGAAUUAUUGGGCGUAAAGGGCGCGUAGGCGGCCCGGUAAGUCAAAGGUGAAAUCCCUCGGCUCAACUGAGGAACUGCCUCUGAAACUGUCGGGCUUGAGGCCGGGAGGGGGUAGCGGAAUUCCUGGUGUAGCGGUGAAAUGCGCAGAUAUCAGGAAGAACACCCGUGGCUAAGGCGGUUCUCUAGUACGGUACUGACGCUGAGACGCGAAAGCGUGGGGAGCGAACAGG